ensembl:antisense 1700030C14Rik RIKEN cDNA 1700030C14 gene
AGUUGCCAUGACUAUGGCUGCCAGGUACAAGAGACAAGUGAUUGGCUAUCAGCUCUACCUUGAGGCAGAUUCUUCCUCCCCUCCUCUUCCUUCUGCCACCAACUGCUAAAGUUCAGUGUGUGUGUGUGUGUGUGUGUGUGUGUGUGUGUGUGUGUGUGUGGCCAGAUGCAGUGAUGCUCAACUGAGAUGUCAGGCAGCAGGGACCCAGUGUACCAAGACCUUGGCGUAGGCUGACCUUCGGUAUAACGCCUUGGCCUUCUGGGUUUCAGGGACAGCUGAUGGUUGGAGAAACAGGCGGGGCACCAGAUGAAAUGACAGUGCCCAGGAACCCAAAGAGGAAGCAAGGAACUUGGACACUUCUCCCUGGGCAGAUGCCAGAUCUGUUGCCUCCAGGAUCUGCCCUUCCCCCUGCAAGCCUGACAGUCCCCGCCCCUUGCCUCUUAUAGCAGGACUUUGCAAACAGUCUUUCUGGAUGGACACUGGACACGGCUGCGCCUCCUCCCUGAACACUUUCCAUUCCCAGACUGAGCCUCAGCCACGGCUCCUCAGGAAAAUUGGCCGAAAGAGACAUUUUCCAUGCUCUUGACUCCUCUGGCCAUGCUGGCACGCUCCAACAUCUUCUCCCCCCUGGUAAACCACGCCCAGAAAGAGGAUGCUGUCCAUCAACCUGCUGUUACUCAUCCACCACUUAGUCUAAAGUCAUUUCAUCUCUCCGGGCCUCAGUGAUCUAAUCUAUGAAUAAACUAUUCAGGCUGC